rnacentral:rRNA from 1 species
AUUGAAUGCUGGCGGCAUGCCUUACACAUGCAAGUCGAACGGUAACAGGUCUUCGGAUGCUGACGAGUGGCGAACGGGUGAGUAAUACAUCGGAACGUGCCUAGUAGUGGGGGAUAACUACUCGAAAGAGUGGCUAAUACCGCAUGAGAUCUACGGAUGAAAGCAGGGGAUCGCAAGACCUUGUGCUACUAGAGCGGCCGAUGGAAGAUUAGGUAGUUGGUGGGAUAAAAGCUUACCAAGCCGACGAUCUGUAGCUGGUCUGAGAGGACGAUCAGCCACACUGGGACUGAGACACGGCCCAGACUCCUACGGGAGGCAGCAGUGGGGAAUUUUGGACAAUGGGCGCAAGCCUGAUCCAGCAAUGCCGCGUGCAGGAUGAAGGCCUUCGGGUUGUAAACUGCUUUUGUACGGAACGAAAAGCCCUGGGUUAAUACCCUGGGGUCAUGACGGUACCGUAAGAAUAAGCACCGGCUAACUACGUGCCAGCCGCCGCCGUAAGAC